rnacentral:lncRNA from 1 species
GCCAUUGCACGUGGACGGGAGGUUGAGUAUAUGUUUGUGCAUGAUGGGCGGAAAAAUGGGGAUCAGGAGGUGGGUAGUAGUGUUGUGGUCGGCUAUAUGGAGUAUGUGGAUAGGUUUGAUGAUGAGGUCGGGGUUGGCUGUAAUGGGAUGGACCUCGAGGCCCGAACCAGGUUCCUGAGUCAGUUGUUGCUACCUCCUCUUUCUUUUGCUUUCCGAUUGCUCUCUCGGUCCCACUUAGGAUAGCAUGGGUGGUUUCUUUGAUUGCUGAAUAAUUCAUAAUAUUGUUGGAUUUGAGUCCCUC